rnacentral:rRNA from 1 species
CCUACGGGUGGCAGCAGUGGGGAAUAUUGCACAAUGGGCGCAAGCCUGAUGCAGCCAUGCCGCGUGUGUGAAGAAGGCCUUCGGGUUGUAAAGCACUUUCAGCGGGGAGGAAGGCGGUGAGGUUAAUAACCUCAUCGAUUGACGUUACCCGCAGAAGAAGCACCGGCUAACUCCGUGCCAGCAGCCGCGGUAAUACGGAGGGUGCAAGCGUUAAUCGGAAUUACUGGGCGUAAAGCGCACGCAGGCGGUCUGUCAAGUCGGAUGUGAGAUCCCCGGGCUCAACCUGGGAACUGCAUUCGAAACUGGCAGGCUAGAGUCUUGUAGAGGGGGGUAGAAUUCCAGGUGUAGCGGUGAAAUGCGUAGAGAUCUGGAGGAAUACCGGUGGCGAAGGCGGCCCCCUGGACAAAGACUGACGCUCAGGUGCGAAAGCGUGGGGAGCAAACAGGAUUAGAUACCCUAGUAGUC